CCUACGGGAGGCAGCAGUGAGGAAUAUUGGUCAAUGGACGCAAGUCUGAACCAGCCAUGCCGCGUGCAGGAAGACGGCUCUAUGAGUUGUAAACUGCUUUUGUACGAGGGUAAACGCAGAUACGCGUAUCUGGCUGAAAGUAUCGUACGAAUAAGGAUCGGCUAACUCCGUGCCAGCAGCCGCGGUAAUACGGAGGAUUCAAGCGUUAUCCGGAUUUAUUGGGUUUAAAGGGUGCGUAGGCGGUCGGAUAAGUUAGAGGUGAAAUCCCGGGGCUCAACCCCGGAACUGCCUCUGAUACUGUUCGGCUAGAGAGUAGUUGCGGUAGGCGGAAUGUAUGGUGUAGCGGUGAAAUGCUUAGAGAUCAUACAGAACACCGAUUGCGAAGGCAGCUUACCAAGCUACUUCUGACGUUGAGGCACGAAAGCGUGGGGAGCAAACAGGAUUAGAUACCCUAGUAGUC
rnacentral:rRNA from 1 species